rnacentral:rRNA from 1 species
GUGCCUACGGGGGGCAGCAGUGGGGAAUAUUGCACAAUGGGGGAAACCCUGAUGCAGCGACGCCGCGUGAGUGAAGAAGUAUUUCGGUAUGUAAAGCUCUAUCAGCAGGGAAGAAAAUGACGGUACCUGACUAAGAAGCCCCGGCUAACUACGUGCCAGCAGCCGCGGUAAUACGUAGGGGGCAAGCGUUAUCCGGAUUUACUGGGUGUAAAGGGAGCGCAGGCGGCGCGUUAAGCCUGGUGUGAAAGCCCGCGGCCCAACCGCGGGACUGCAUUGGGAACUGGCGCGCUGGAGUGCCGGAGGGG